rnacentral:lncRNA from 1 species
AAAAAAUCUGAAAUAAUUGGAAAAAAAUAAUGACGCCAAUUUUAAUAAUGAUAACGCCACUAACUAAACCCUAAACUUUAAAUCUAUACUCUAAACGCUAAACCCAAACUGUAAACCCUAAACUCAAGAUGUAAACCCUAAACCCAAACCCUAUAUCCUAAACCCAAAUCCUAAAUCUUAAAUCCUAAACCCAAACCAUAAACCCUAAACCCAAACCCUAUAUCCUAAACCCAAAUCAUAGACUCUAAACUCGAACCAUAUAUCCA